AUGGGGUGAAAGGGUUAAUGCUGUUCUGGACUCAACUCCCCUCGAUUCUCCGGUCACCACAUCAAUUGACGGGAGUUCUUGUUUAGCAAAUUAAGACACAGACACGAAAGAGUGCUUAACAAGUUCUCAGUGAGUAUAUUUUCAGGUCUAGCAUUUAUACACAGUUUGUCACUCAAGCAGCGAGAUUUAUCGUUUCCUUGUAGUUAAUAGUACAUACUUGUCUGACAUUAAAAGAUAAGCAUUUGAAUAAAGACGGGACAGGAACAUCCUGAGGUCGAGCAAGGUCAUACAUCCUGUAGAAGGGAGGCCUCUCAAAAGCAUGUUAUAGAAUACAUCAAGGUCAGCAUAAUUAUUUCAAACAUUAUUUUAAAGCAUAUAAAGCACAAAGAGUUAACUAUUUCAUAUCCUUACAUUCCCCUCUUUGAGAAAAAAAUUUGCUCAUAUUAUUGAUAAAAUCUUCCCAGGACAGAGAAACUUCCACAUGGUAUUUUCAGGGGUGCUAGUCAGUCCCUGCGGGACUUUCAUUAAUUUCUUCAACUCGAUUCCCAUGUGGUAAUUCCUAAGGCCCAGUUUUAAAGAUGGGUUGAUACCCUCCAGUGGCAGAGAGGAGAAUUUCCAAUUGUUUCUGUUCUGUAUUAUGGAUUAAUUUCUGUAUUCUCUUCCUCAAUGUACAAGUAAAGUUAUAUAGAAUUAUACAUAAUAAAAUCAGGACUAUAAUAACAAGAGAAUAGAAGAAUGAUUUCAUUAUCUGGGAUCCAGUAGGGGACCAACCAGUAAAAGCAUCGUACAAAUGAUGGGCUAAAUAAUUCUGAAUUUGUGAACUCACCUUAAGGAGUUCUCCUUUUAGGAUAUGUGUGGCUAUCUGUGUGUGUACUAUAGCAUCAUUAUGUGUAACAAGGAUGUGUAUUAAGGAGACAAUAGUCUCAAGAGGUAAAUGGUAAUCUUUAAAAGGCAGAGAACCUAAUAGGUCAUUAAUAUGUUUGUCUAAAGUGAUUGUGUCGCUGAAAUAAUAUUGGGUGCCAUUAAGAUCUAACCAGGUAACAUUAGUCAAACAUCCUGAAAAGGGGAGAGGUAGAUUAAUACUUGUAUUACAAGUAAUUAUCUUUGUAGGGAGGUUAGUUGCCAAACAGAUAUGACGUGUGCUUCAUGCUGGCCGUAUUUAACUUUUUCUUGAGGGUCUCCAUGUCUAUACUAUUUAGUAUACCCAUAGUGGUUCCAGCACCUCCUAACAGUGUGUCAUACCAUUCCCUUUUCUGCCUUUUAUUUGCUGUGUUACAUAAUGUUAAAACAGGAGUAGUGAUUUUUAAUUACACAUGUACAGCUUGUAUUAACACAUGUGGACGGAAUAGGUGUGUGUGUGUGUUGUUGUUGAAUUUUGGUUCUAUGGUAGAGGAUAAAGGACAGUAAUAAGGUGUAUAAGGUAGUGUACAGUUCUCAAUUGCAGUGUCGUUCAUAAUUACUAACAUUUGUCCCCUUUUCCAAUUAAUGGUACCAGUUGUAUAAUCAUUAUUAAAAGUAAUAAGGCCUGUCUGUUUACAUUGAUAUGCAACCUUACUAAUUUUCUUAAAAUAUAUAUCCCAAACCUGUUGAGGUGGUUUUUUCUUACCAUCAGAACUUAUAUUAAAUAAGGUAGCACAAAUACCAGUGUAAUUAGCAACCUUAAUUGUGCAAGCUCCUGUGAUAUAAGAUCUAACAAUUUUCCGUAAACCUUCAAACAAACAUAAUGCUUUGGUUUCAUUAGCUGUGGACACAUUCCAUAUGGGUAUUGGUACUUAUAAGGGUUAUUAUUUGUCCAAUUUAUCCAAAUGCAUUCAGUCAAUGAGUGAUUGCAUAUUACAUGCUGAUAGGUGGUGGAGAAAGAUUCUUGAGGGAGCGUGUGUGACGAAUGCUAGAUGAGGGGCUAAGGCCUAAUUGGGCUGGGGGUAUUGAAGAAUUGUUCAUCGUGUCAGAGUCUUUUCUCCAGAAACAAACAGGCGUCAAACUUCCCAUUGACUUGUACUCAUAAUGGCAUUCUAGGAACAAUAUCAGAGGGAGUAUAACAACUCCAGAAAGCAUAGCUCACAACAUAAUCUUGGUCUCAGGUACGUAUGAUCCUCUCAAUCUACGAUAUGGUGUGAAAGCCAUGAUGCUUCGCUAAGGGGAAAUUCUUCUGUUUCCGAGUGAGGAGUGGUGUUAUCUUCCUUGGUUCCCCUCUUUGGACACAGCUUCACUCGGGAUGCGUGAAUCCAGAUGUUGUGGGAAUGUGUGAGGACAGAGGUUCUGGUUACAGCAAUCACAGUAGCAGGUGGUCCGAAAGGGUAUCCUCCUUUCUUGGUCCUAUUCAGCUGAUGGAUAUACACCUUGUCACCAGGCUGGUAUGGAUGAGUAGGUUCCUGUGAAGGUAAGGGAAACUGCGAAGAAACAUUGCCUAGUAUACCAUUCAGUUUUAUCAACAAUUCCUGUACAUAUUGUUCUUGUAUUAGCUGUAAAUCCCCAGACAUUAUAACAAGCGGUUUCCUGGCCCAAGGUGUGGGAAAAGGUCGUCCCAUCAGAAUCUCAAAUGGAGAUAAUUUAGUCACCUUGUGGGGAGUCAUUCUUAUCUCAGCUAAAAUAGCUGGAAGAUAUUUGUCCAAUUUACCCAUGUUCCUGCAGUAGCUUUCAUAAGCUUCUCCUUAAUGGUCCUAUUCAUCCUUUCAACUACCCCUGAACUCUGUGGAUGAUAGGGUAUAUGAAACUUCCAGGUAACUUGCAAGAAUUUAGCAAGUUCCUGGGUAACCUUACUGUCAAAAGCUGGGCCAUUAUCAGAGUUAAUCUGCAGAGGGCAGCCAUACCUGGGAAUAAUUUCAGUAGCAAGAAUCUUCACUACAGUCCUAGCAUCUUCCCUAGAUGUCACAAAGGCCUCACGCCAUCUACUAAACUGAUCAACUAUGACCAGUAAGUAUUGCUGUUUCUUACCAAUUUUGGGUACAUGAGUAAAAUCAAUCUGUAAGUGUGUAAAAGGAGCAGCUGGAGGGGGCAAAUGUUCGUGCUGUGACUUGUGUGGAAUAUUAGGAUGUGUUCUCAUACAUGGUUCACACGAUCUUACAAAAGACUGUACAUGCUGCCUGAGAUUCCUAAUAUAAAAUGAAUUUAUGAGAAAUUGGAUGGUGCUUGCAAUGCUUUUGUGACCGGGACCAUGUGCCUGACUGAUGAAAAUAAAGCAGCUGGCUUCAGGUAUGCCUAUUCUCCCCUCUUUAGAGAAAAGAUCAUUCUGAUCUUUCUCUAAACCUUUUUUAAUCCAAAAAUCAAAGUCAGAUUGCGUUGCAAAGGCUUGGAGUUGCAAAAGCAAACUGUCAGUAGGGCAUGUGGGAGGUGUGAGCAUAGCAGGAAACAUUUCAUAGUAAAGAGUCUUGGCUGCAACUUCUUUUGUCACUUUGUCAGCCAAGGCAUUACCUCUGGAAAUGUUAUCACUACCCAGAGUGUGUGCCUUGCAGUGGAUAACAGCUACUUCAGAUGGGAGUAGGAUAGCAUCUAGGAGUGAUUGGAUGAGAUUUGUGUGUGAAAUGGCUUUUCCAUCGGCUCCUACAAAGCCUCUUUGUUUCCAAAUCACACCAAAAUCAUGCACUACCCCAUGAGCAUAUCGUGAGUCUGUGUAAAUGUUCACUCGCUUUCCUGUGAAAAGCUGACAGGCACGUGUGAGAGCAAUGAGUUCUGAAGCUUGUGCAGACAGCUGGAAAAUAGUGUCAGCUUCAAUGAUUUUAUCAGGUAACUGUACCACGGCAUAGCCUGUGAGGUCCGUACCGCCAUUUGGUCUGGAGCAAGAGCCAUCCACAAAGACAGUGGUCACAUCCUGGCCACUGAGUGCUGUGGAGGAGAGGUCUGCUCUGGGAGAUGUGGCAAUAUGUAUUUGUUCAAUGCAAUUAUGAGACUCAGAUUGUAUAGACACAGAAUCAGAUGCAGAAGUGAGAAUAUAUACAAAAAAUAGUAUAUACACUACAAAAUAGAAACGUAUAACUGGAAGAAUUCCUAGGUGUACCUCACAGACACCCAAGAAACAAUGUGAAAUAGUAAAAAGGUGGAAAACACCCAGAAUACAUGUAGGUUACUAUAUAAAAUAUACAACAACCUGAUGGUGAGUGAAAUCCAUAUGAAUUCUGUAUAAAAAUCAGAAAUCUGACAUAGCGUGAUACAGUAAAGGAGUUUUAACUUUAUAAAUAUAAAUGAUUAUAGAUGCACUCACAAACGCACGUGAAAUAGAGCUUCUCGCCCACUCAGGGGCAGUAUGUAAUCCGAUGGAUAAAUUAGAGAAUCACCUCAUAGGAUAUAUAAAAAUAAAGGAAAAACAGAAUAGUGAAGUUUGUUAUAAAAAGUACAAAAUCACAUUUAUUGGUCACACUUACAUGUGUGUAAAUCACAAAGAGCGUAUCUCUCAAUAACUUGAAUAGGGAUAAACAGGAGUAGUUAUAAAUGAGUAGCCAAAAUAUAAAUAUAUACAAAUAAAAAACAGUAAAAACAAUAUAAAGUAGGUCCAAUAUAGAAAUCCAACGCGUUUCGUCCUGUAGGGUGUAGGACUUCAUCAGGGAUACUUCUAUACUUCCAUUUCUCCGGUUUAAAUACCGGUAAAGAUCUCCUUUUGAUUGCGUUCAUCUGUUAUUCGGCGUGCGUUCCAUCUGUGGAACGCACAAAGACGCAAGGAUAUGACGAAAUUUGAAGAGACAGUUCCGUAUUCCUACUGCGCAUGCGCGCGAAAAGCGCGCAUGCGCACAUUAAAAAAAGAUCGAGACCUGGACGGGAUGUAAAACAGAAGACCAAAAAAACAGCCUGAGACAUCUGAACAACAGAAAUAAAUCAUUAGGGGCUGCAUUGGAGGGUGUAGGCAUGAAAUAAAGUUACACAUAUGUCUCUAAAUGGAAAAAAUAUAAAUAAUAAAUAAAAAAUAUAUAUAAGAAAUAAAAAUAAAAAUAAAAAUAAAAUAAAAAAUAAUAAUAAAAAAAUAUUAAUAAAAAUAAAAUGAAAUGAAUAAAAAAUAUAUGGUACUGAAAAAAUAUAAGAAAAAAUCUAUAUAUACAUAUAGACAUACAUCCUACAAUGACAACAUUGCAUGGAGUUCCAAGUUAUUGAGAGAUACGCUCUUUGUGAUUUACACACAUGUAAGUGUGACCAAUAAAUGUAAUUUUGUACUUUUUAUAACAAACUUCACUAUUCUGUUUUUCCUUUAUUUUUAUAUAUCCUAUGAGGUGAUUCUCUAAUUUAUCCAUCGGAUUACAUACUGCCCCUGAGUGGGCGAGAAGCUCUAUUUCACGUGCGUUUGUGAGUGCAUCUAUAAUCAUUUAUAUUUAUAAAGUUAAAACUCCUUUACUGUAUCACGCUAUGUCAGAUUUCUGAUUUUUAUACAGAAUUCAUAUGGAUUUCACUCUCCAUCAGGUUGUUGUAUAUUUUAUAUAGUAAUCUACACUUAUUCUGGGUGUUUUCCACCUUUUUACUAUUUCGCAGAAGUGAGAAUAGCAUUCAAAACAGACAUAGGACCAGAAUUAACAGGACUAUAGACAAUAGACAGAUUCUGGGUAUUAAGAAGAAUAAUCUCAUAACCACUUAAGCGCUGGGCUGUCAUGUGUUGUGUGGUGAGAUUUUUUAUAAGCUGAGUGACCUGGUGACUGGUAUGGAGUAUUGUAGGAUGCCCUAGUGUGAUAGUAGUAGCAGUCUCAACAGCCAUUGCACAUGCAGCCAAUGCUCUGAGACACGCCGGCAUACCCUGUACUGGAGCUGGAACUACUUUGGAAAAGAAUGCUAUGGGACGCAUACCGCCUCCGUGCUCUUGUGCACAGACCGCGGCCAUGGUUUUACAGUUGUCCCGAGCAUACAAAUGAAAUGGUUUACAAUACACAGGUAGUCCUAAAGCCGGGGCUUGCACAAUAGCAACUUUGAGGGCAAUAUAUGCAGCUAGCAUGUCUGGUGACCAGCAGACAUUUUCAGGGCUGUCAGAACGUACAGCCUCCCUUAGGAUUGAGUCAUAAUGGAAGCAUUCAGGAAUCCACCGGCGGCAGUAAUUAAUCCUGCCGAGGAAGGUGAGCAACUCCUUCCGAGUAGUGGGUUUAGGAAUCCUCUGAAUGACCUCAAAACGUUUUGGACUCAAUUGUCUGGUGCCUGAAGCCAGAACAAAACCUAAGUAAUCAACCUUUGAUUUACACAAUUGCAUUUUGUGUUUUGCAACCUUGUGACCCACAGUUGCUAAGUGUUUGAGCAAACUGACAAUAUCCACAGUGCUUUCCUCAUAGCUAGGGCUACAUAACAACAAAUCAUCAACAUAUUGCAAAAGGACCAGGGGUCCAUGUUUUUAGAGCAUGUUGGAGUACCAGCAAAUAAACGGCUGGGGAAUCCACAUAGCCUUGGGGUAAGCGUGUCCAGGUAAACUGACAGCCUUCAAAAGUAAAAGCCAUAAGUAGCUGUGUCUCUUGAUCAAUAGGUAUAGAAAAAAAUGCAUUACUUAAAUCAAUGACAGUGAAGCAAGUGGCAUCAUGUGGAAUGGCUGUAAUGAGGGAUAUCACAUCAGGGACAAUGGGUGAAAUGGGCAGAAUUAAACUAUUCAGGGCUCUAAAGUCCUGAACUAAGCGAUAACCAUUACCUUUAGGAACUGGAUUAAUAGGUGUGUUAUAUGGGGAAACUAUUGGCUUUAGUAUUCCCUGCUCUAGAAAAGAUUGGAUCAUGGGGCGAACUCCCUCAACCUUGGCUUCUGACAGGAGGUACUAUUUAAGGUAGAUAGGAGUUACAUCUGGUUUUAGUUUGGCUUUGUAAGGGGUGCAGUUGACAAAUCCUACAUCUAACUUAGAUGAAGCCCACGCAGAGGAAGGAACAUCAGACAAAUCAAUAGUUUCAGAACACAACAUAGACACAUCAAUACCACCAGAGGGCGUGCAAGUAAUGGUAGCUCCCAGAAUACCAAGAAGAUCCCUUCCCAGCAAACUAACAGAACAUUUAGGUAUUUGACGAAAAGGGUGCACAGUAGAAGAACCAUUAAGAGGACAGAAAACAGACAGUGGUGGUGUGACAAAAGUGGGUGUUGACACUCCAUUAAUACCCAAUGAAGGUGUAGACUUUUCCCUUGUCCCCUGAUAAUAGAUGUCACAGAGACUGGAACACGUAGCUCCAGUAUCUACCAAAAAUGGCAAGGAUCUACCUUCUAUGACCAGAAUGCAAAAAGGCUGAUCAUCAUUAGUAGAGGACAAAAGUGGAAAUGUUGGAGUGUCACCUCAAGGCAGCCCUAUUGGGGCCAUGGGAUGUUAUGGGUGUGCUGGUCAGUGGUACCUGUGAAUGGCCCUAGUGCAGUUUGGGUUUGCUGGAGCGAGGGGGGAGAGGGAAGUGCUGGCCAGUGGUGUUGGGAGUGGGCCUGGUGUUGUUCUUGCCUACCGGGCCUAUUUUGAGAAUUGUGGGGUUGUUGGGGCUGCUGGGGUUUCCUGGGGUGUGGACACUCAUUCCUCCAGUGUCUAUGCUGGACACAGUUGAAACAAGUGUUCCUGUCUAUUCCUCCUUGGUUACCCCUGCCCCUAUAACCCUGAUUUCCCUGUCUCCAUCCCCUUGCCCAUCUUUGACCACCCCUUCCACGGGCUCUAUGUGCUCCAUCCCAUCCUCUCUCUCGGGCCUGUGUAGGUGGACAGUGUUGCAAUCCCUGAGCAUAAUAAGCAACCUUACUUCCUGAAUCUUUUCUUAAGUCAAAACAACCUCUAUAACCUUGGUAAGAAAAGCUGAGCCACCCAAAUUGGCCCAGUCUGAAAUCAAUUGUUUCACAAGGAAUACUGUGGCAACAUAUUACCAAGGCAUGACUGUAUUUUAAGGAGAUCCAUAUCAUCUCCAGACUUCAAACCUGCCUCAUCCUUCCAACACUUGUAAAAUCUCUUUACAAAAAUACCAGUCUCUUCCUUUGCACCUUGCUUACAUGCCAAAGCAGUGGAUAUAGACUGCUUAUUCUUCCAUAAUCUCAACAUUUCAGCUCGUCCCACAUUUUAGCACAUCCUACUAAAGUACUAAGCUCAUAAACACCAUCACUACCAGCCUCUCCAACUCCAGUAUCAUUGUCUGUCUCACUGACAGAGGGUAUCCUAGACCAAUCCCAACCAGAAUCUGAGUCAUACCCUAAUAUUCCAUUUAUAAUUAACUGUAUGUCUAUCUGUGUCAUGCUCUGUCCUAAGCACAUUCUUUUCAGAUAAGUUAGGCAUGCAGAGGGAUUAGGCAUGCAGAGGGAUUAGUACGGGGGUUUGGGGCACCUUGAAUAUUGUCCUUGAGUACUCUGGGAUUAAUGGGUUUCAUUAUUAACUGAUUACCAACAGUCAUGAACGGGGCAGUAAGAUCAGCACCUUCUAAUUCUGGCAUCUCUACAUCAUCAUCACCUUGCUUAUGUACAUAUGAUUUUAACACCUUGCCACUUUUAAGUUUAACUCCCGUCCUGUUAAUGCUGUGAUUGUGAAUUAACAGCUGCAGCAAUACAAAUAUCUUCUAUAUCAUCCUCUGAGGGGGCAUUAGGUACAGCAGGAUACAUUGCAUUAUAGGGAGGUGUGGGUUGUGGUUGGGCAUGGCCAGGGGCUGACUGGGUAGGGGGCAGAAUUGGUGGUGGAUAUAGAUUUUCAGGAGGGGCUUCUAAGGGAAAGCGGAUGGUAUUACUGUCAACAGUUCCCUUUCUCUUAGCCAGGUCUUUCUUAGCUCCCCUUAAAACCUUUCCUGUUACACUACAAGGAAACCAAUGAGGGGCUAUCUGCAACCAAUUUUCACCUCCUGCUUUCAUAUACUCCUUAUCCCAAUCUGGAUCAGGACCAUACCACGGCCAUGACUUCCUAUCUCCCAAACACAAUCCUCGAAUCAUAUUCAUAUGGAAAUCAUUAUUAGCCCCACACCUGGGAAAAGGAUCAGAUGACUUCAUAGUCUGUGUCCAUCCUGCUAAAUUUGACACAAAGUGGAUUGUAAGAAAUCCUCCUUGUGCUCCUAUUCUAGUAACAUAAUUUAGACAUGACUCCCCUGGGUGGGGUAAAGGGUAAGAAAUAGACUGAUUAUUUCCCAUAUUUCUGGCUCAGGGUAGAAACACUACCUACUUACCAAUAGUGUGUCUCUACUUAACAAGCAAAAUAAACACAAAGCAGACACAAAGCAGACAGAGGAACAAGAAGUUUGGGUUAUUCUAGAUCUAUAAACCGUGUUUCCUAGAACACCUAUAGUCUCAAAACAUGUAUCUACCUGAGAUACCCUGUAUCUAUCUUAGAUACUAACCUGGGUUACCAAGAACCCUAUACUAGACCAACUGUCCAGUAAAAACUGGAGACCUAUUUACAGUCUCAAUAUAACUAAAGUCCUUACACCUUUCCUAUCUACUGGACACAACCUACUGAACCAAAGGGGGUCAUAGACAAUCAGCGUCAAUAAGACACAAAAAGGCUACUUACCCAAUGGUCCUGCUGUAAUCCCACUUCAAACACCAAGCUGAAAGGGUUAAUGCUGUUCUGGACUCAACUUCCCUCGAUUCUCGAUUCUCCGGUCACCACAUAAAUUGACGGGAGUUCUUGUUUAGCAAAUUAAGACACAGACAUGAAAGAGUGCUUAAUAAGUUCUCAGUGAGUAUAUUUUCAAGGCUAGCAUUUAUACACAGUUUGUCACGCAAGCAGCGAGAUUUAUCGUUUCCUUGUAGUUAAUAGUACAUACUUGUCUGACAUUAAAAGAUAAGCAUUUGAAUAAAGACGGGACAGGAACAUCCUGAGGUCGAGUGAGGUCAUACAUCCUGUAGAAGGGAGGCCUCUCAAAAGCAUGUUAUAGAAUAUAUCUGCCAAGGUCAGCAUAAUUAUUUCAAACAUUAUUUGAAAUCAUAUAAAGCAAAAAG